GAACACGAUGUAAAAGAGAAAACUGAGAACGGAACAUACCUGCGAAAACGAUGGAGGCCCUUGUGCAGAAUCAAACGGGAAAUCCUGGAAAGAGGAUCAAGUUGCUGCUGUUACAGAACGAAAGCCGGGCUUUUUUUAUGAAGAUGAAAUCUGCUCGAAGACAAUAGGAUAAAUUUCUGCUUAUUUAAUCCUGAGAUGUUGGUGGAAGAUAGUAGAGGCGACGUUACCUAAAGUUCAGAAAUUAAGUAACAUGAUUCUCAAAAAAGAGCAGGAGGUUGAUGCUGCACCAAGUAAUAACAAACCAGGACUUUCUGAUGCGAUUCAGAUAAGUCAUGAAGACGGUUUUAAUGAAAAAAAAUGGAGGAGUGUCUACAGAUGACACCACUGGAACCCAAUCUUGAUAAAACUCCAUAAGUGCUUGUAAAUAUAACAGAUGCUGAGACUCUAUAAAGUUUCAACAAUGAAAACAAUGAUUCUAUCUCAUCUUCUAAUCAGGUUGAAGAUGCUACAACUCCAACAUCCUUUACUCACAAAAGUUUUGUUCCAUUCUUGAUGACUGUUUUAUGGGAUGAUUCUGAUCGUUUCAUUCAAAGAUAUCAACUUUGUUUAUGACACAUUUUGAAUUUUGAGAUUGUUAAUGACUAAAAAGUCCCUGGAAUGGCUGAAUUAAAAAAGAAAAGCAACAAACCAAAGAGACCAACAAUCAAGUCACUAUUCGAGGAAGGGCCAGAAACAGAGGCAGUUACAACAUCUUAUGGUGACAUUACUUCUUCUAAUCACUAAAAUUGGUGAUGAAUAUAUGGAGUGGGAGAAUCUUUACACCAUGGAUAAAAGACAUAAUCAAAUUAUAAACGAUCAUAUACAGAAACACAUUUGAUGCCAAAGGUUUAUGACACGAAGCUUGAAGGUCAAGUCAUCCCUAGUUACAUCCAAAUCAGGUAUGAAGGUAAGAUUUGCUGCUGCCAUUGAACUGCAAAAAAUAAAACUGUUAGAAAAGAAUAAUAUGAUGAUAGAAUAUGAUAAUAACAAAAUAACACAAUAAAUAAUAUUACAUUGCUAUUCGAAUAAAAGAAUGAAAACUUAACAGGUGUUGAUUAAAAAUGUUCAUCCUUUUUUUCAUUUGUAUUUGAGUCAACAUAUAUAUAUAUAUAUAUAUAUAUAUAUAUAUAUAUAUAUAUAUAUAUAUAUAUAUAUAUAUAUAUAUUGAUUGUACAAUCCUAUUGAACAUGCAGUAUGAUGUAGACAUAGUACACAUGCAUGAAAAUAAAUUGGACAAUAGAUAUGGGGUUCACAGAAUAUUCAAACAGGGAUAGUAAGUCGGAUUUAAAAAAAUAUAUAUGAUAGCAGUAUCAAUCAAUGAAAAGAACACUUAUUAUUUAUGAUAUAAAUUAUACUGAUAUUAUUUAAAAGUUUUGAUUGAAUAUAUGUUUACCAGUAUCAAUCAAUGAAAAGAACAAUUAUUAUGAUGCAGAUAUUUGGGACUAUCCUUCUUGGCGGAUUACUUAAAAGUUUUGAUUGAUUCUCUGUUUAGCAAUACAGGUUGUUUGCUUACAUGUAAUAAUCGGAUUGAAGAAGAAGUAGAAGAAGAAGGAUUUCAAAUUAAAAAAUCAAAAGAAUGAACACUGAUAAUUGAUGAUGAUAUGCUAACCUGAUGAUUUUGGUUUUUUGUGACAGAAACUUCUGUGAAUGAAAGUGCAGUUCUGUCGAAUUCUGUGGAAAGCGUUAAUAUUAAGAUGAUGAUAUUACCGAUUACCGAUAGUUGAUGUAUAUAAUUUAGCCUAUAAAUCAGGAAUCAGUAUCAAAUAUUUUGAAUUGAUUCAAAUUGAUUCAAAUUCCGGUAAUUAAGGAUGUUUAAGAUAUUUAGGAUAUAUAUUUUAGGAUAUAAAUCACAUAAAAUAACGAACUCUGCAUUUAUAAUUUUUUCAUAUUCUCUUCCUAUUUUUAUGCGUAUAAACUCCAGCGAUUUUUUUUCUUAAUUAUGUUGAUUUAUGUUGAUGCUGAUAAUUAUGCUAAUAUGUAGGGUUUUGAAUGUGAAGGAAAUCUCUUCUCUUGGGAUUAUAUGGGCGGGAAAUGAAGAUGUAGAAUUCUGGAGUAAUGACACGUGGCAACAUGUUGUGCUAAUAGUUGGACAAGUGGCAUUUAGUAUAGUGUUUUAUUAGGUAGAGAGAUUUAUUACAUUUGAUAUUUUACAUAUAUAAAUAUAAGAUUAUGUGGCUUUUUAAUUUUAAAAAUUGAAUAAAACCAUAAAUUGACCUGUGGAUAUUAAAAAUAUCACAAAAUGAUAAAGAUCAAAACUUAUUACAGAUUGACAUGUGGCAAAAUUAUCUUUAUUUAUUACAGUAGAUAAAAAAACAAAAUGUUUUUAGGGCAUCCGUUGAAUCAUUCAUUAAGUUUAAAUAUAUAACUAAACUGCAGUUCCAUGUUGUGUAGAUAGAAUAUUUUCUUUUAAGUUUUUUUUCAUGCCUUUUGAUCAAUUUAUGUCACGAAUGACGAGGAGAAGAAAGGAGAUUUAUCUGGGCAUAUUUGAGAUCAUUGGCAUUUUGAAGGUAAAGCUCCAUAGUUAUUUUGGGAUUGCAAAUGGUAAACUUUUUUCUAGACAUAUGUUUUGAAAUUAUUUAUAAUAAAAAAUAGCCUAUUUUGCUUUUUUUUUUUUUUUUUUUUUGUCAAAGCUCUGUUUUUCUAUUUCUAGAAACCAAACAAUUGAAUCAAAACACUCUACGUUUCCGUUGAUUCUCACUUCAAUAUUUUUUUUUGAAAAAAUGGAUCUUUGUUGACCCCUUUCCCAUUGUUAUCUUUUAAUUGUAACUUUUUAAUUAGAAAAAAAUGCAUUUAGAGGUUCAAAUUAGAAACAGUGCAUCUUAGUUGUGGCCCUUACAUAUUAUUAAUCAUCCGGAAACAAAUUAUUUGUAGAAAAAUGGAUGACAAACAUGAUUUUUUAUUCUUUUAAGUUUAAACAUCAUUUUAAGAUGAUUGUGCAGUCUAACUUCAAAUAUCUGUUUAGAUUUUAAGCAGUAGUAAAAAGCUAAUUUGGGAAGAAAAAAAAAGUGUGCGUGUGCGCGACAGUUUGCAACUAAAGUGGCUAUAAUGAUUCUUCGAAUGGAUUACAUGAUGAGAAGCAUGAAGGAUGACAUAAAAGAUGGUCAAGAUUAGUGUCUUUUUUGGUGAUAGGAUAUUGGUAAUGGUAAACUUCAUGUCGCUGUAGGAAUUUGAGAAUUUGGUGAGAUUGAUGGUUGCAAUCAAGUCUGGUUUUGUCAAGGUAUAAGCAGAUUAUGGUCCUGUACCUUUAAAUUUUUGGUUUGGUUUUCAUGACAGUCGAGAUGUUCUUUUAUUAUUCUUCCGCUCCAUGGUUUCUUACUGCAGGUUUUACCUUAUUGUGUUAUUGACUUUGAUCUUUUUCCA